rnacentral:lncRNA from 1 species
GGGAAACUGAGCUUGCAGGAUUUCCCUGUUAGUCAUGCAUCUGUUCCAAUGAAUCCCAUGAUGAUUCCAGGUGUUUGGCUGAGUUGUUUGCCUGGCCAUGUGGAUGCAUACCACAUGUCAAGCGACCUGAUAGUGUUUAUUUAAAGAAUCCUGUCUGCAGAGACAUGGCUGCAUCUCCUCAUGCCCUGCUGUUACAGACAGCUCUUUAUUGCCCAUGACUCAUGACAUGAUGGGCUAAUUACACUAACACAGCCAGUGCAUUGUGCAGUCUCAUCUCAACACUCCUUUGUUCCAUGCUGGCUGACAGGGCUGUUGGCCCAUCUCUUGGGUGGUCAGCAUCACAAACAAAUACCUUGCCUUUUGCCACAAACUCUGCAGCUGAAUUGCUAAAUUUUUCAGAGCAUUUGAGAGCAUAGGAGUGGAUUUCUACCAGCAGCAGAACAUCUGCAGGGCUCAGAAAAGGAAACACAACUGGAUAGAAAAGGAACAGACUUAAUUUAUUAACAGCUGCUGCCUCCUCAUCUCCAGCCCCACACUGAUCAGGAGAUGUGCUAGACCACAUAUGUGUUUGUCCAGCCUCUUCUCAAAGGAGCUCUCCCAGCAUCCAGGGACAGCCUGUUUCAACGUUUCACUGCAGUGCCAGACGGCAUUUCCUGAUGAAUUAAGAAAAUUAUGGUGUUGUAGAAGCACCUCUCCUCUGAAGAUCUCACAGAAGCCUCUACAUGAUGCCCACUAUGAGGUGGUUACAAAUGUGAAAUAG